AGGGGUGGGGUUGGGGAAGGACGUGUGCAGAGAGCAGCUAUCUUGUGCCUGUUCUGUUGGUUCAGGUUGUUUAGACUUGGUUGUAUGUGUGUAUUUUAGUUAAUAUUGCUAAGUAUUAAGGGUUAAGUCUUAAUGCUAAAAGUAGGAAGUAAAAAACAAUCCCUAUAUAAAUGUCUUUUUGUUAGUGUUUAGGGAAAACUGUCUUCUGGGAGUGAACUUAAUAUGAAGUCUCUCUCCAA